CCUGACUGGGAAGGGGCGUAAAAUAUGCAAAAUAAAUAAAUAAAUAAAAUAUAUUUUAAAAAUUUUCUGUUUAGAAAAACAGCGCUCAGUUACAGGUAGUGUUAACAAAAUUCUUAGUGCUACAACAAUGUAAUUUUGUCAUUUUUUAGAAUUUUGUUAUAUUAAUAUUUUUUAUUGUUCAUUAUAAAUUUCAUAUUUUAUAAUUAAUUUUGGCGCUUAUAUCAAUCCAGCGCCCAAAGCAAUUGCCGGUGCCAUAGGCAUUCACAUCACCUAUGGAACCGGCCUUGGCACUCUAUUUCAUCCAUUUGAUGGUCAAAACGCCGGAUGACCUGAGGAUCCGGGUGAUGUCAUGUCGAAUAUCACUGCCUGUAUACCUAGCUGUUCCAUUGCUGAACCAUGAUACUUCCCAAACAGGAUGUACCUGUUUAUCGCAGUUCUUUUGCACACUGUACGACAUAAUUAAAAACAAUAGGAAAAGAUUAUCUAGCGAUGAAAAGAAAUUAAAUCAUGUAAAUAAACGCAAUAUGAGCUAAGCUGCUGGCAUGAACUUACUUUUCUUUCUCCGACUUUUUAUAUGCGGUAUGGUAAACACCUACUUACAACUGAUAGCAGUAACUGAUGUGUUAACGCAUACAUUCGGAUUUGCAUAGCCAUUUCGUGUUUCAUUUUCGUACGUGUUUAUCGAGUACCCGCAACCUCAGGAACGCCAACAAGAUAAUUUGCUUACUGUUUUACCACUGAAAUUUCGAAUGGCCGGAAAUACAUGUCAUAAAACUUUCGAAGAAAUGCACCGUUCAAUCGAAAAACGGGCAAAACUUUUUCGGACUGGUUUUCGAUUUAAGGAAUCGUGGUACGAUUAUUGUGUGAUCGAUUCCGACCACUCUAUAUUUAAAAUUAUAAAUAAUAAAAAAAACGUAAAUUUAAAUAAUAAAGUUUAAUAAAAAUUUCCAAAUUUCAUUGUUCUCAAGUACUG
rnacentral:lncRNA from 1 species